rnacentral:rRNA from 2 species
CGUGCGUAACACAUGCAAGUCGAACGAGAAUGUACUGACAGAUCCUUAGGGUGAAGAUAGUACAGGACAGUGGCGGAUGGGUGAGUAACGCGUAAGGAACCUGCCUUUCACACCGGGAUAGCAGCUGGAAACGGCUAUUAAUACCGGAUGACACUUUUUCCCCGCAUGAGGAAGAGGUUAAAGAAUUUCGGUGAAAGAUGGUCUUGCGUCUGAUUAGCUAGUUGGUGGGGUAACGGCCUACCAAGGCGACGAUCAGUAGCCGGCCUGAGAGGGUGUACGGCCACAUUGGGACUGAGACACGGCCCAAACUCCUACGGGAGGCAGCAGUGGGGAAUUUUGCACAAUGGAGGAAACUCUGAUGCAGCGACGCCGCGUGAACGAAGAAGGUCUUCGGAUUGUAAAGUUCUGGUCCUAUGGGAAGAUA